CGAUGAUCUCCAGCUUGCUGGGGUGAUUAGUGGCGAACGGGUGAGUAACACGUGAGUAACCUGCCCUUGACUCUGGGAUAAGCCUGGGAAACUGGGUCUAAUACCGGAUAUGACCUUCCAUCGCAUGGUGGUUGGUGGAAAGCUUUUGUGGUUUUGGAUGGACUCGCGGCCUAUCAGCUUGUUGGUGGGGUAAUGGCCUACCAAGGCGACGACGGGUAGCCGGCCUGAGAGGGUGACCGGCCACACUGGGACUGAGACACGGCCCAGACUCCUACGGGAGGCAGCAGUGGGGAAUAUUGCACAAUGGGCGCAAGCCUGAUGCAGCGACGCCGCGUGAGGGAUGACGGCCUUCGGGUUGUAAACCUCUUUCAGUAGGGAAGAAGCGUAAGUGACGGUACCUGCAGAAGAAGCGCCGGCUAACUACGUGCCAGCAGCCGCGGUAAUACGUAGGGCGCAAGCGUUAUCCGGAAUUAUUGGGCGUAAAGAGCUCGUAGGCGGUUUGUCGCGUCUGCCGUGAAAGUCCGGGGCUCAACUCCGGAUCUGCGGUGGGUACGGGCAGACUAGAGUGAUGUAGGGGAGACUGGAAUUCCUGGUGUAGCGGUGAAAUGCGCAGAUAUCAGGAGGAACACCGAUGGCGAAGGCAGGUCUCUGGGCAUUAACUGACGCUGAGGAGCGAAAGCAUGGGGAGCGAACAGGAUUAGAUACCCUGGUAGUCCAUGCCGUAAACGUUGGGCACUAGGUGUGGGGGACAUUCCACGUUUUCCGCG
rnacentral:rRNA from 1 species